rnacentral:rRNA from 1 species
ACUCCUACGGGAGGCAGCAGUGGGAAUCUUAGACAAUGGGGGCAACCCUGAUCUAGCCAUGCCGCGUGAGUGAUGAAGGCCCUAGGGUUGUAAAGCUCUUUCAGCUGGGAAGAUAAUGACGGUACCAGCAGAAGAAGCCCCGGCUAACUCCGUGCCAGCAGCCGCGGUAAUACGGAGGGGCUAGCGUUGUUCGGAAUUACUGGGCGUAAAGCGCACGUAGGCGGAUUGGAAAGUUAGAGGUGAAAUCCUGCAGCUCAACUGUAGAAUUGCCUUUGAUACUGGUUGUCUUGAAUUAUUGUGAAGUAGUUAGAAUAUGUGGUGUAGCGGUGAAAUGCAUAGAUAUCACAUAGAAUACCGAUUGCGAAGGCAGAUUACUAACAAUACAUUGACACUGAUGGACGAAAGCGUGGGGAGCGAACAGGAUUAGAUACCCUGGUAGGCUCUGC